CGAGCGAAGCGCUGUUUUCAGAAUCUUCGGAGGAAGAGGACAGUGACUGAGCGGCGGACGGGUGAGUAACGCGUGGGCAACCUGCCUCAUACAGGGGGAUAACAGUUAGAAAUGACUGCUAAUACCGCAUAAGCGCACAGGACCGCAUGGUGUAGUGUGAAAAACUCCGGUGGUAUGAGAUGGACCCGCGUCUGAUUAGGUAGUUGGUGGGGUAAAGGCCUACCAAGCCGACGAUCAGUAGCCGACCUGAGAGGGUGACCGGCCACAUUGGGACUGAGACACGGCCCAAACUCCUACGGGAGGCAGCAGUGGGGAAUAUUGCACAAUGGGGGAAACCCUGAUGCAGCGACGCCGCGUGAAGGAAGAAGUAUUUCGGUAUGUAAACUUCUAUCAGCAGGGAAGAAGAUGACGGUACCUGAGUAAGAAGCACCGGCUAAAUACGUGCCAGCAGCCGCGGUAAUACGUAUGGUGCAAGCGUUAUCCGGAUUUACUGGGUGUAAAGGGAGCGUAGACGGAUAGGCAAGUCUGGAGUGAAAACCCAGGGCUCAACCUUGGGACUGCUUUGGAAACUGCAGAUCUGGAGUGCCGGAGAGGUAAGCGGAAUUCCUAGUGUAGCGGUGAAAUGCGUAGAUAUUAGGAGGAACACCAGUGGCGAAGGCGGCUUACUGGACGGUGACUGACGUUGAGGCUCGAAAGCGUGGGGAGCAAACAGG
rnacentral:rRNA from 1 species